rnacentral:rRNA from 1 species
UACGUAGGUGACAAGCGUUGUCCGGAUUUACUGGGCGUAAAGAGCGCGCAGGCGGUCGAUCAAGUCGAGUGUGAAAUCCCCGGGCUUAACUUGGGAAUUGCGCUCGAAACUACGUGGCUCGAGUGUGGCAGAGGAAGGUGGAAUUCCACGUGUAGCGGUGAAAUGCGUAGAGAUGUGGAGGAACACCGAUGGCGAAGGCAGCCUUCUGGGCCAACACUGACGCUCAUGCACGAAAGCGUGGGGAGCAAACAGG